rnacentral:rRNA from 1 species
CGAAGAACCUUACCAGGCCUUGACAUGCAGAGAACUUUCCAGAGAUGGAUUGGUGCCUUCGGGAACUCUGACACAGGUGCUGCAUGGCUGUCGUCAGCUCGUGUCGUGAGAUGUUGGGUUAAGUCCCGUAACGAGCGCAACCCUUGUCCUUAGUUACCAGCACGUUAUGGUGGGCACUCUAAGGAGACUGCCGGUGACAAACCGGAGGAAGGUGGGGGAUGACGUCAAGUCAUCAUGGCCCUUACGGCCUGGGCUACACACGUGCUACAAUGGUCGGUACAAAGGGUUGCCAAGCCGCGAGGUGGAGCUAAUCCCAUAAAACCGAUCGUAGUCCGGAUCGCAGUCUGCAACUCGACUGCGUGAAGUCGGAAUCGCUAGUGAUCGUGAAUCAGAAUGUCACGGUGAAUACGUUCCCGGGCCUU